AUUCCAGAUUUUGAUAAAUAUGGCUUUAAUUAUAUUUUUGUGACUUUCUUAAAUUUACCUUUGUUAAAAGGAACCUCCAGCAGGAAUGGAGAGUCUCAGUUCAACAAAAAAGCACAAUGGAAAUUGAUGCCGAUGAGUUUAUUACUCAAGGUCGUGAGUGAAUUAACAGCAAACCUUGAGGGCCCCCUGAGGGAGGUCAAGGCUAGAACCAGGCAGAGAAAGCUCCAGUACUUGGGGUUCCGGCCUUUCUAAGGGACCCUGGGUGAAGUGCUGUGGGCUCCCCAGGCUGAGCGUGGAUGGGUCCAUUCAAACCAGAGGAGCAGGAAUCUGAAAGCAGGGAUCUGAAACUCUAUUGUAAGAAGCAGAAGAAUCUAGGAGACAUUCUAGAAAUGCAGGAACCAAAACCCUGAGGAACCAAAACCAAAAUCCCAGGCCGCUGAGCAACUAAGCCCGUGUGCCACAACCACUGGGCCUGUGCUCUGGAGCCCGAGAACCACAACUGAGCCCAUGAGCCAGAACUACUGAAGGCCAGGCACCCUAGGUGCUGUGCUCUGCAGCCAGAGGAGCCACCGCCGUGAGAAGCCUGCUCACUGCAACUAGAGAAAAGCCCGCACAGCAAUAAAGACUCAGCACAGCCAAA